rnacentral:rRNA from 1 species
GAUGAACGCUGGCGGCGUGCCUAAUACAUGCAAGUCGAGCGAACGGACGAGAAGCUUGCUUCUCUGAUGUUAGUGGCGGACGGGUGAGUAACACGUGGAUAACCUACCUAUAAGACUGGGAUAACUUCGGGAAACCGGAGCUAAUACCGGAUGAUAUUUUGAACCGCAUGGUUCAAAAGUGAAAGACGGUCUUGCUGUCACUUAUAGAUGGAUCCGCGCUGCAUUAGCUAGUUGGUAAGGUAACGGCUUACCAAGGCAACGAUGCAUAGCCGACCUGAGAGGGUGAUCGGCCACACUGGAACUGAGACACAGUCCAGACUCCUACGGGAGGCAGCAGUAGGGAAUCUUCCGCAAUGGGCGAAAGCCUGACGGAGCAACGCCGCGUGAGUGAUGAAGGUCUUCGGAUCGUAAAACUCUGUUAUUAGGGAAGAACAUAUGUGUAAGUAACUGUGCACAUCUUGACGGUACCUAAUCAGAAAGCCACGGCUAACUACGUG